rnacentral:rRNA from 1 species
CUCCGUGCCAGCAGCCGCGGUAAUACGGAGGGUGCGAGCGUUAAUCGGAAUUACUGGGCGUAAAGCGCAUGCAGGUGGUUUGUUAAGUCAGAUGUGAAAGCCCGGGGCUCGAACCUCGGAAUUGCAUUUGAAACUGGCAGACUAGAGUACUGUAGAGGGGGUAGGAAGUUUCAGGUGUAGCGGUGAAAUGCGUAGAGAUCUGAAGGAAUACCGGUGGCGAAGGCGGCCCCCUCGGACAGAUACUGACACUCAGAUGCGAAAGCGUGGGGAGCAAACAGGAUUAGAUACCCUGGUAG